rnacentral:rRNA from 1 species
UACGUAGGGUCCGAGCGUUGUCCGGAAUUACUGGGCGUAAAGCGUGCGCAGGCGGCUUCCCAAGCGCCACGUGAAAGCCCCGGGCUCAACCCGGGAGAGUCGCGGCGAACUGGGAGGCUUGAGGCCGGUAGAGGUGGGUGGAACUCCUGGUGGAGUGGUGAAAUGCGUAGAGAUCAGGAAGAACACCCGUGGCGAAGGCGGCCCACUGGGCCGGUGCUGACGCUGAGGCGCGAAGGCGUGGGGAGCGAACGGG